UUGUCUUUACUCUUGAGUGAUAAGUGGGAAGACCCCCGUGGUCCCUUCAGCCCGAGCCUUUCCCCCUGAGGCUGGGGCUGCAAGGUCCCGGGAUUUGGCCCAGGUGGCCUGCAUCCUCAGCAAGCCUGUUGGAGUCCUGCCUCCACCCUCCUGGCAUCACAGUCCCCUUGACUCUUGCCAGCAUGACUUAUCAGAUUGCUCUGACCAAUCGGCCUUUCCUGACGAAUUACGCAAAGGGCCAAUGAAAAAUUAGUGUACAAAGAGAGUCAAAAAGAAAGGAAAAAAACAGGUUGCUGAGCAACCCAACUCCGUAAGCAGUAAGCAGAGGGAGAUGCUAUUUUUACACCAGGAAGGUGGCUGCAGUUGAUUUUGUAGCAAACUCCUGGCCUCAACCACUGGAGUGACCUCCUGGAGACCUCCCAAUGAACUGCAGAGCUGCCAACUGCCAGGGGUAGGUCUCUGAUGAAAUGAGGCCUCUUCAGAAAGGGCUCCACAGCAAUUAUGUCUCUCAGAGUGCCCUGUGCUCUUCCUGCAGAGCACACAUCAACGUUUGUAAUUAUAAAGGUAUUUGCUGGGUUUUGUGAAAUCUCCCUCUCUGCACUGGACUGGAAGCUGGCGGAGGGGAGGCACAGGGCCUGCUUCUCUUCAUCACUGUUUAUCGCCAGCAUGUAUUACACCGGCUGUUCACAAUAGGUCUCAAUCUUUGUAGAAUGAAUUGAUGAAUGAGUGGAAAUUAGAUUGAUACUAGUACGUUGGAUCUGAUUGUCAUGAAAUGUCAUCUCUAGUCAAAAUGUGGGAGACCAUUAGGAUUUCAAAGGUUUUUCUGUAAGUUGCUAACAGAAGUAUUUUUCAACAACAAAAUACCUAAAUGCUGGUACCUGCUGUGUGCUGUCCCCUAAAUUAGCCAGCAUGCUUGCACUGGGAGCACCCAGAUCUGUGAGUCGCCAUGCUAUGUGACCUUGGAGCUCAGCUGGGAAAGAGAAGAUGAGCCAGGCAUGUGGGCUCUUCCAGGGGGCCUGCGCAGAACAGCAGAGCAGGGGAAGGGGCUGGGGUGCCCACCGCUGGGGGAGCAGUAGCUGUGUGGUCCUGGGAGGCCUCCGGAUCAGGCGCCUCAGCGAGGAGACCUAAGAAGCGAGGGGCGGCUGUGCAGACACAGCAGACCCUCCCCUUGCCCUGGCUGUGCCCCAACACCGCCUUCUUGCUCACUCUCCUGCUCCGGCUCCUCACCUUUCCCCCAGCAGAUGCUGGGAGGCCCUGCCCUUCCGUUUGGUGGGUUCCCCCCACUCCUCUGUCUACACACACCUGUCUCUGGGUGGUUUCACCCAGACUCAAGUUCUUAAAUCCACACACAAAUGUCUCCCCUCUGGAACUCAUCUCCAGACCUCAGUUUAUAAACCUAGCUGCGGAAGCCCUGGCCAAACAGCAAUGAUUUCUGCAUUAAGCUUCCAGACACAGAGGGGUCAUCCUUUCUCUAGGCAAUUUGUUUCACUCCUGGACACUCUUGAGUUGUGAGGAGGGUCGUUUGCUUCUCCAAGUUCCUUUUGGUUCUGGAACCCCAAAAUGCCCACAUUCUUGUCCAACUGAUGGUUAAACAUCUCAAGGUAGCUAUUGUGUGUCUUUUAGCUGCCUCCUUGUAUGUUUCCAGACCUUUAAUAGAUACUUGAUACGUGCAUGUUAAGUGUAAAGCAUGGCGCUAGGUGCUUUGGUUACUGAAAUGAUGGUCACAGAGUCUGUCCUCUGGCAUCUCGUGGCUCGGUAGGGGCAACAGGCUUUGUCCUGCAUGAGCUAGGACAUGGUGAACGUGCUGCAGCACCGACCCCAAAUGCAAGGGGGCCAAUCAGACGAAGUGCUGCUGAGGGGUGUCCGGGUGGCGGUCCAUGUGGUCUCAGGGCGGAGCAGGCGUGUGGAGGGUCAGUAGGACUCAGACGUGGGAGGCUGGGGAGGCUGAGAGACUGUGCGGGAGAAGGUAGGAGGGACUGGCACAAGGGGCCAGGAGGAACUCUUGUUUUGCUGCUCGAGGACCCUGGGUGCCUUAGUAGUUCUCUGGGCCUUUGUAAUGAACUAGAGUAUGACCUCAUCUUAACCUGAUUACAUCUGCAAAGACCCUACUUCCAAAUGAAGUCGCUGGAGGGUAGAACGCCACCAUAUCUUUUAGGGGGACACAGUUCCAUCCACAGCAAAUGGAUAGUGGGAAUUAGGUAGGAGGGUAGUCUCAAGGCAAACAUAUACUUCUUUGAAAUCCAAGCUAAGGAAUUCAGUCUUUAUUCCUUAGGCCUGUGGCUCUAAGUCUUGGCUGUUCAUCAGAAAUACCUGGAAAUCUUUUAAAAAUGCUGAUGUCUGGAUUCUGCACCCAACCUGCAUCAGAAUCUGCCUAGGUGUUUCUGACACUUAACCGGGCUUAGAGCCACUCCUCUGGCUGACCAGGACCUGUUUCCCUCCUUAGGACGUCAGUUUUAGGACACCUCGAAGUCUCGAACAGUCACACCGAAGUGUUUUCUAGAGUUUCCGUUCUAAAAUAUUGCCCUCCAAAUGGAGUAUAAUCCCCACAAGAUUGUGUGGCCAGCCCAAGCACACUGGGAUGAUGGUUUAUUUUGUUCUGUUUAUUCCUCCUCUCUGGAUGCGGUACAAUGGUGGUCUUUUUCACAGUAGCCAGAUCUGCUCUUGGCUCCAUGCAGUUUGUGGUCUAUUGAAACUCUUCCCACAUCUUUCCACAUGAAUGGCUAUAAAUCCAGGUUUUCCCUAUCCAGUACUUGUGCAAUUGAUUUUUGGAUCCUAAAUACAGGCCUUGACAAUAUAUCUGUUUAAUUUCAUCUUGCAGUUUAAGUCAAGUGUUCUAGCCUGUUGAGGCCUUUGUAGUUCAAGUCUGUCGUUUAUCAUGUUAGCAACAUCUCAUAAAUCUGUCAUCUGCGGAUUUGAUAAACAUGCCUUUUCGGGCUUCGUCCAAAUUGCUGUAAACCAAGUUAAACAUGUCUCAGAGAGAGAUAUAUGAUAUUCCUCAGCGUCUGACCUCCAUUGGCAAAUACUCUUAGUUCCUAAAUCAGCUGUCAUUGAGCCAACUCUUAAUCAAGCCAUAUUUUAUUCUCAAAGAAUUCUUUGAAACUUCAGUCAUCUGGGAGGUGUUGCAAAUUUAUAAUUAGUCCCUGAAGUAAAGGACAAGAAGACCAAAUAAUGGCAGGCAAAAUUGACCAGGGUCAUGAACACGUCAUUUGGGCUGUACUGAGUAAACUCAAGCCACAAACAAAGAAUGUUUAUUGUCAACUUUGAGCUGAAAGCAAUCAGUGAGUCAACCAAGCAUCGAGUGACUAUAUGCUAAGAAACAAAUUCAGAGUCCAUAUAUACAAUUUUUGAAGCUAGAAGCUAGAGCAUAGUAUUAAGUUUGCUGCAAUUCCAAACCCAACUUAUGUUCUAAAAAAUACCCGGAAUGUCCACUCAGAGUCCCUUUUUGGAAAGCCUACUGUACAUUUAUCAUGAUACUGCAUGCUCUGGAAUAUAGUGACAUGUGGCCACCCGGGACAAGAGAAGGACAUGAUGAGACGGGGUGAUUGGAGGAGAUCUGCUGCCCAGCUGUGUGGAGGCGUGAAGUGAAGAGUUCAGGCUCCUGAGAAGGACAGAUCUGAUUCAAACACUAGUAUACAGUUCAUUGCUGUGUGACCUCCACCAAAUUAAUGAACUUCUCUGAACGUCAUUCUGACUGUCAGUUAACCAUAACAGAAGCCAAACUAACAAGAUUGUUAGGAUGAAAUGAGAUGCGUGGAGUCUGACUUAGGAGCAGGCCCAGCACAUAGUGGUCAGACACGUUGACUUUUCUAUGAAGGUUUGACAAGUAAAGGCAAUACGUGAACCUGAGCCAAAAAAAGGACGUUAGUAGGAGAUGUGGCAAAUAUUGAAUAGUGACUCUAGACGAGUUAAGGUAGUUGCAUCAAUGUUUGUAUCUUGAUCUCGAUCAUUGGACUGUGGCUGCGUGACAUCUGGGGAUACUGAAGGACACACAGCAGUGCUUUAUAUUUUUUCUGCAACCCUUUUGUAAGUGUGUGAUUGUUUCAAUAUGAGCUUAAAGAAAUGUAAUUAUCAACUCCUUUAAUGUGUGUGUCUAUCACACCGUAUCAGUGUCUCCAUCUUCAGUGGGGAGACUGCAAUAAAAUGAGACCUUUAUAGGACAACACACGGUUGUUACUGAUGAUUCAGUGCGGGUGAAAGAGGCUGGAGAUAGCCAGAGACUGGACUCACCGACCUAGAGCCCCAUGUUAUGUGCCUGGAGACUCUUCCCAAGUUCAUAGUAGCCCCUUGACCAGAAUCAUUGCCGUGCACUGGGGACACGUCUGCGGUUUGGACAUUAUGAGGAUGGCAGUGCAUUUCCCCUGGAUAUUCCUGGGAAGGGUGAGGCUGGACACUCACCAGAGGGUACCCUGUGAACAGUUAAAGGUGAUGGGCAGGGGUGCAGAUACGGCUGCCCGUAGGGGACAGAGGAGCUGGGGACAGAGGCACAGGCUCCAAAUCUGACAAACAGGAACUAGGACCAGAGUCAGGACCGUGAACGCUGGGCCUCUGGGAGGAGUUGGCAAGGCUGAUUACCAACUGCUGCUAGCAUCUUCCCUUAACCAGGGCCGCCACGGGUUCCCAUGGGCAGUCUGGGCUGUUUGCCCAUGGCCCCAUUUACCACGGAAGGCGUGGGGAAAGCAGCCCUGGAGAGGUUUUAUGCAGGAGGUCUCUGGCUCCAUCCUCUUGACCUAAUCCGUGCUCAAAGACCUCACCUCCUGACACCAUCACAGGACACAGAGCUGAGUGACAACCAGCACUUUUGACCCCAGAUCCCUUCACUCCUGAAGCUCUGAUGUGAACUUGUCAAUGACGUGAACCAAUACAUCUCAAAAGAGUUACAAGGACAGAACGUAAAGAAACAAAUGCUUUAAAUGUCGAAUGGUUGUAAUGUAAAUUUGCUCUUGUGUUAUUUGCAAGAGGCCUUCCAAACAUCCUUAAAAUGGGACAGAAAAUCAAAACCCUUUAUAGAACACAAUGGAUGACAUAUUUUCAGACAUUAAAAGGGGCUGAAAAUAAUAUCCGUGGCUGUCAGCCACCUAUAACAUGUUCAAGGUUUGCUAUUUUAUUUUUUAUUUUUGUCUUUUUGUCCUUUUAGGGCCACAACCAAGGCAUAUGGAGAUUCCCAGGCUAGGGGUCUAAUCGUAGCUGUUGCUGCCAGCCUACGCCAGAGCUACAGCAACACCAGAUCUAAGCUGUGUCUGCAACCUACACUGCAGCUCACGGCAAUGCCGGAUCUUUAACCCACUGAGCGAUGCCAGGGAUUGAACCCGCAAUCUCAUGGUUCCUAGUGGGAUUCGUUUCUGCUGUGCCACGACGGGAACGCCAAGGUUUGCUAUUUUAAAAAGACAGUCUACGAGAGAGAAAAUGGGGGGGGGGUCUUGUUUUCAUCUAAAAUUUGAAAGUGGAUGUGACAAUCUGAGACAGAGGUUAGUGAAUAACCUGAAAUGCUGUUUAAACCUGUCUGCAUGGUACACGGUGGAACUCCCUUCAGAAACAUAAAAGUUAGUUCCCUUGUUUCUUUCUUAAUUUGAAGAUAACAAUGGCCCUUCAGUUUUAGAUAGAGUUAUGGUUAAAGUGAUAGGGAUCUCAGAAUUCCCCUUGUGGCACAGCAAAAAUGAAUCCGGCUAGUAUCCAUGAGGAUGUGGGUUCGAUCCCAGGCCUCGUUAAGUGGGUCGGAGAUCCAGCAUUGCCGUGAGCUGUGGCAUCAGCUGCAGAUGCUGCUCGGAUUCCGCAUUGCUGUGACUGUGGUGUAGGCCAGAAGCUGCAGCUCCAAUUCGACCCCUAGCCGGGAAUUUCCAUACGCUGCAGGUGUGGCCCC
rnacentral:lncRNA from 9 species